rnacentral:rRNA from 1 species
GCACAAGCGGCGGAGCAUGCGGAUUAAUUCGAUGCAACGCGAAGAACCUUACCAAGGCUUGACAUACACCGGUAACGCCCAGAGAUGGGUGCCCCUUUGUGGUCGGUGGACAGGUGGUGCAUGGUUGUCGUCAGCUCGUGUCGUGAGAUGUUGGGUUGAGUCCCGCAACGAGCGCAACCCUCGUCCUAUGUUGCCAGCGGGUCAUGCCGGGGACUCAUGGGAGACUGCCGGGGUCAACUCGGAGGAAGGUGGGGAUGACGUCAAAUCAUCAUGCCCCUUAUGUCUUGGGCUUCACGCAUGCUACAAUGGCCGGUACAAAGGGCUGCGAUACCGCGAGGUGGAGCGAAUCCCAGAAAGCCGGUCUCAGUUCGGAUUGGGGUCUGCAACUCGACCCCAUGAAGUCGGAGUCGCUAGUAAUCGCAGAUCAGCAACGCUGCGGUGAAUACGUUCCCGGGCCUU